ensembl:lncRNA
GUUACAUUCACACACACGACGUGUUAUAGACCCAAGAUGAACACGCUGGGUUGACCGAACGUUUAUCACACAGAAGCCACCUUCUUCUCUGCAGCCCGCAUCGUCCGCCACCCGGAUCGACAUUCAGUGUAGGAGUGGAGAGGAGUUGUCUGUCCUGGAGGAUUGAUGGUGUCUGGUGGCCAGGAAGAAGGCGAAACAGUCAGUAUCAGCCUUCAAUAUCUCUGAGAAUUGACGCUUCCCCCAAAAUACCGUCUUCUGGCGAGGCACGCGCGUCUUCUCCCUGAAUUGACUCUGGGGUGAUUCGAAAGAAAACAACCGGGAAGAGAGUUUUAUAAAGCUGACAUUCGCGAGAACAAGUUUUCGAAGGACGACUACUUUGAAAUCUUCGGUGAACAGAAAGUGUUGACGAGGAGAAAGUCCCCAAGUUGAGCUCCAAAUCAUUGAGAACGCAGAAGUUCGAAGCAGCAGAACCAGGGUCUUUCUGAAAGAAUAUGCAGCAAUGUGUCUCCCUGUGAUGGUGUGCAGGAGAACACUAGGUGUCAGCGUACAUCGCACCACGUCACUGAGUCCCUGUUGAUGCAACCCAUGGACCACUGAUG